rnacentral:rRNA from 1 species
UGGGGAAUCUUGCGCCAAUGCGCGAAAGCGUGACGCAGCGACGCCGCGUGGGGGAUGAAGGCCCUCGGGUUGUAAACCCCUUUCGCCAGGGACGAAGCGAGAGUGACGGUACCUGGAGAAGAAGUCCCGGCUAACUACGUGCCAGCAGCCGCGGUAACACGUAGGGGACGAGCGUUGUCCGGAUUCAUUGGGCGUAAAGCGCGCGUAGGCGGUCGUGCAAGUCGGUUGUGAAAUCCCGGGGCUCAACCCCGGGACUGCGUCCGAUACUGUGCGACUGGAGGCAGGUAGGGGAGAUCGGAAUUCCUGGUGUAGCGGUGAAAUGCGCAGAUAUCAGGAGGAACACCGGUGGCGAAGGCGGAUCUCUGGGCCUUGCCUGACGCUGAGGCGCGAAAGCUAGGGGAGCGAACAGGAUUAGAUACCCUGGUAGUCCUAGCCGUAAACGUUGGGUGCUAGGUGUGGGCGGACAUCGACCCCGUCCGUGCCGAAGCUAACGCAUUAAGCA